rnacentral:lncRNA from 1 species
AACUAAGACAAGCCCAAUUACUUAUGCGGAACUCCCACUUCAAAAUUAAAGUAAAAAACGUGCUCGAAUCACAAGCCCAAAAAGGCUGCGGAUACAAGCCCAUCCAAUCGAAUCCCUGCAGCUCAAAGAAGGGAAACCUGGACAUCAAACUAUCCUAUUCAACAGUAAUCCUUUAACUGAUUCAACAACAGUAAUUGUGCGAGAUUCUACCCUUGAUGAAACCUCAUUUCAAUAUAUUUAAUAACUAACAACACCCCAUGAGAUUUUCAAAUAAGUGAAUCUGAAUUCUAUUCAAGCUAACAUAUUUUAACGGAACCAUAUGCUUUUAAUUAUUUCAACGAAAGCAAACAUUAAGAUGUAAAGAAUUAGGCUAAUUUGAGAACUCUCAAGUUUGAGAUUAAACCCAACAUUCCUUUGAAAACCUUUAUGAAUUUCAAGUCAUUCAUACAUGGGUAAAGCAAGGCAGAAUACCAGAACUGAAGUGGCUAAGCUAUUAUGUAGAUCAUGGAAGAACAAUCUAGCAUACAAUAAGCUAAUGGAUGGGAAAACAGAGCAUAUCAGAUUUGCUAAAGAGAAACACAUGAAAGAACCAAUCUGAUGGAUAUACUUAAACACGACUAUAAAAAAACAUCUCCAAAGUUCAGCAAGAUACAUAUCAUCCUAAACUCAAGGACAUUCUUAAACUCAAACAACAUUCAAACAAACCCCAAAUGCAAACCUCUAAACGAAAUAUAACACUAACAACAUGGAUGAAAUAUACAUAAUGAAACUAAACUGAUGGACACGUGGACGAAAUAUAAUAAAUUCCAGCAGUUAUUUGACAACAAAAAGCUAGUAUUUGUAAUUUCUCUUCAAUUUAAUUACAUGGCUUUCACAUUUGCACUUCAUAUGUUACUCAAGAGUCAGUGUAUACCUGGGAAUAAAAGAGAACAAAACCCAGAUUUAGCAAUCAAACAGUAAUAGCGACAACAAACUCAAACCCAAACUUUAAAAGAUCUAAACACUCAAUCUGUUUCAAUCCAGGCGCAAGAACUUGUCAUUUUUAGUAUUUUUAACUAAGCAAUGAAGAUCAGAAACCAAAAACCAAGCACAAUUUAAGUAGUUUUCAACAAGAAAUAUGCAGGGAAUUCAGUAUUACUUUUCAGAGUCAGUUGUUUCAAACAAUAACAGCCACAACAACUCAAACCCAAACUUUAAGAGAUCCAAAAACUCAAUCCGUUUCAAUUCAGGUGCAAGAACUUGUCAUUUUCAAUAUUUUUUACUAUGCAAUGAACAUCAGAAACCAAAAACCAAGCACAAUUUGAGUAUUUUUCAACAAGAAAAAUGCAGGAAAUUCAUUAUUACUUUUCAGAGUCAGCCGUUUCAAUUGUUCAUGUUUUUUUUAUUUUUUUCCCUUGCUAGUGAAGUAAGAGUGCCUUUAUAGGCAAGGUUUUAGGGCUGCAAUGGUGAAAUCAAUUUUGCACUUUGAACCUUUGGAUAUUU